rnacentral:rRNA from 1 species
AUGAUGCCGGAGUGCGACUCGCAUGGAAUUGUGCCAACUUGGCAGGAGCCUCCCUCCCCACCAAGAAGGCGUCUCCGCAAGGUUGGUGACGUGGCGGAGCAGCAGGCGAGCGAACAGCCGCCGCGCCGCGCAACACGCUCCACCGCGGCAAGCACUGUUGCCGCGGGAGCAUCUCACGCUGCAACAACAACUGGAGCGAGGCCCUCCCGGACCACCGCUUCUACUCCAGCCGGAGCGGGAUCAUCUCAGACCACCGCCACUGCUCCCGCCAAGCGGCCAAGGGAAGCUACUCCUCCGCCUCCUCGCGCCGGACGUGAGCCAGACUUUGACUUCUCCGCGUUCAGCUCCGGCGAGGAAGAAGAAGAAGAGACUCUGGCCCAGAGAGCAGCAAAGAGAGCCAAGGCGCCGGUGAUUAUCAUCGAGGAUGAACCCACGGCGACAGAAGGGGAUGCACCCGAGACAAUCUUGCCGGACCCGGCAACUUUUCUCCAGAGCAGCCCCCAGCGAGCCGAGUAG